rnacentral:misc_RNA from 1 species
CCUGAUUAAUAAUACUGGUUAAUGAUCGAGAAAUUAAUUUGGCCUGAACCCAGUCAUCCUGAAGACUUAAAAAUUUGUCUACUGAUGGAUGCUGCUUAUCCUCCUUGACUGAGAGAAUAAAUGCCGGAAAAAUUACAAGAAAGUAUUACCUGACAAAACAGUCUUAAACUUCUCUCACAUCUGUCAUUAAUUACCUAAAUACAUCAGCAAAGCCUCUGCUGGCAAUAGUUCACACACUAAGUAGCACACCUUAGGCAUUUGAGCAAUUUCUUGGCAGCAGAAGCCUCUUGUAAAG